UACGUAGGGAGCAAGCGUUAUCCGGAUUUACUGGGUGUAAAGGGCGAGUAGGCGGGCUGGUAAGUUGGGAGUGAAAUCCGGGGGCUCAACCCCCGAACUGCUUUCAAAACUGCUAGUCUUGAGUGAUGGAGAGGCAGGCGGAAUUCCCAGUGUAGCGGUGAAAUGCGUAGAUAUUGGGAGGAACACCAGUGGCGAAGGCGGCCUGCUGGACAUUAACUGACGCUGAGGCGCGAAAGCGUGGGGAGCAAAC
rnacentral:rRNA from 1 species